AUUGAACGCUGGCGGCAGGCCUAACACAUGCAAGUCGAGCGGAUGAAGGGAGCUUUCUCCUGGAUUCAGCGGCGGACGGGUGUGUAAUGCCUAGGAAUCUGCCUGGUUGUGGUGGAUAACGUCCGGAAACGGGCGCUAAUACCGCAUACGUCCUGAGGGUGAAAGUGGGGGAUCUUCGGACCUCACGCUAUCUGAUGAGCCUAGGUCGGAUUAGCUAGUUGGUGGGGUAAAGGCCUACCAAGGCGACGAUCCGUAACUGGUCUGAGAGGAUGAUCAGUCACACUGGAACUGAGACACGGUCCAGACUCCUACGGGAGGCAGCAGUGGGGAAUAUUGGACAAUGGGCGAAAGCCUGAUACAGCCAUGCCGCGUGUGUGAAGAAGGUCUUCGGAUUGUAAAGCACUUUAAGUUGGGAGGAAGGGAAGUAAGUUAAUACCUUGCUGUUUUGACGUUAACAACAGAAUAAGCACCGGCUAACUUCGUG
rnacentral:rRNA from 1 species